CACUCCUGCGGGAGGCAGCAGUAGGGAAUCUUCCACAAUGGGUGCAAACCUGAUGGAGCAAUGCCGCGUGAGUGAAGAAGGUCUUCGGAUCGUAAAGCUCUGUUGUUAGAGAAGAACACGUGCUAGGUAACUACUAGCGCCUUGACGGUAUCUAACCAGAAAGUCACGGCUAACUACGUGCCAGCAGCCGCGGUAAUACGUAGGUGACAAGCGUUGUCCGGAUUUAUUGGGCGUAAAGGGAGCGCAGGCGGUCUGUUUAGUCUAAUGUGGAAGCCCACGGCUUAACCGUGGAACGGCAUUGGAAACUGACAGACUUGAAUGUAGAAGAGGAAAAUGGAAUUCCAAGUGUAGCGGUGGAAUGCGUAGAUAUUUGGAGGAACACCAGUGGCGAAGGCGAUUUUCUGGUCUAACAUUGACGCUGAGGCUCGAAAGCGUGGGGAGCGAACAGGAUUAGAAACCCUAGUAGUCCCA
rnacentral:rRNA from 1 species